AAGUGGGCUUAGACCUAGCUUUAUUGAUGGGCAAGCUAGAGGAAGCAAAACAUCCAUGAAGAAUAGAAGGAAAAAAAAGAAAGAGGAGAUAUUCUUCUGAUUCAUACAGCUCUGAUCCUGAGUCUGAUUCCGAUUCCUAUUCUUCAGAUUCAGAGUCUGAUGUCUCUGCAUCUGAGUGAAGCUACUCUAGUGAUGGCAGAAGACAUAGGAGAAGGAGGUCAGCAAAAUGAGUCAAGCAUCAACAUGGGAAAAAGAUGAAGGAUGGGCGAAGAGGGAGAAAAAAAGGCUGGCGAGAAAAUAGAUCAGAUUGCAAAUCCAAAUGGUCUGGUUACAACCUGGUUUCAAGGACAAUCCUCCAAAAUUUUGCCCCUCUUGAUUGUUACUUUGUUAUGUUUGUUGAUGAUGGUUUUAUUUCAGGAGUUCAGAUAGUUAAAGUGACAGUGAGAGUACAAGGACUAGCACUGGCAGUGAUGAUGGAAAGGCCGGUUCGUGUUGUGUUUCUGCUCUUACCAAUCGUAUCUCCAAACCUGCUGAAAAUUAUUCUCUGCAGAAUCUUGAUUCUGCAGGCAUCUUAAUGUUGAUACUGUGGGUUCAACCAUUGGCAGAUUGUCAUGUCACAGAUGUAGAGAAAAAUGUGCCAAGCCAACUUUGUGGAAAAGAUGCUAAUGCAGGACUACAUAGGAAUAACGAGUUAAAGGUAACUGGGAACAACUCACAUGAAGAAGGUGAAUUGUCACCGAAAAUUGAUGAGCUUCUGAACUAUGGUCAUGGCAACAUGGCUGCUAAUAAAGUACCUAUGUAGAUGGCUCAGACAGGUCAAGGUUUCUGUUCUUAUCUAACUACACUUGUACGUGUGAGUCCAAACCCUAAACGGAGUCCAAACAACAACAGUAGAAGAAGCCAAAGCAUAAGUCCUCCCAAGGAUGAUGUUAGAAGCCCUCCUAGGAAAUCUAGCGUGCAGAACCAUGGAAAGACUUCACGUAGCCCCUAGUAGUCCUGCAAGGAAAUUCCCUGCAUCUAACCAAGGGCGUGUUUCCUCGAGAAGUCCAUCUCAGGUGGAAUGUCAAAGCGCAUAAGAAAAGGUCAUGGCUUCCUGACUGCUAUUCCUUUGCACGUCGAUACCGUACACCUUCUCCUAAGCAUUCCCCAAUGAGAUCCUACCAUUAUGGUGGAAGAAAUAUUCCAGAAAGAAACCAUAUAGUUAAUCCCACAAAAAUUUGACUAAAAGGAUGCCGCUGUUCCCCGUUUCUUAAAUCUUAAUAACAUUUUUUUAUUUUGGUGAAGAUAUUCAAGCUAUAGAAAUCAGUCUGAUUAGUCAACCCGCAGAUGUAGAAGCCUGCCAAGAAGCCAUAGCCCUUCAGGUUCUCCUUUCUCUCUCUCAUGUCUAUCCAUGUCUACAUGUCAUAAUUGUCUUUCAUAGCUGUAAAGUGUGUGUACUUUGAUUGCAUUAGACAUAGAUUCAUUCUGAGAUGGACUUCGUGAUCUGCAAGUGGCCAUUGCUCUAGUCAUUUGUACUUGUUUGUGUUUAUUAUUCAUCACAAGGCUUAAAUCUGUUCUUCAUCAAUUGAUCAUUGCUUCAUAGGUCUUACGUCUUUCAAUAUACAAUAUUCAAUUCAUAACAUUUUGCA